GCGCGGGUGGUGGAAUGGCAGACACGCAUGUUUGAGGGGCAUGUGGCUGAUGAGGCCGUAGGAGUUCAAGUCUCCUCCCGCGCACCA
rnacentral:tRNA from 1 species